AAAUGAAGAUGUAAAAUGUUCUCGUGAAACACUGAACCCUACUCGGCCUCAGGGAAGAAUCCAAAAAAGAUUCUCGAGAAGGCGUUUUGGCAUGAAAACAAAACGAGGGGAGGAGUCGAGCUGUAAUUGCCCGGGCACGUGCGCCGCUCAUCCCGACAUUUCCAAGAUCCCUGCCAACUUUCUCGCCUACUUCCAGUCAAUCGACAUGGAUCUCACUUUCACUUUCCCUCGCUCACCUGCAUAAAAGCAGGUGCAGCUCCUCACCUCCAGCACCAAACACCUCCGCUCUCCUGAAGAGAAGCAGCCGAGCCGAGCCGAGAACCUACGAAGAACCAGAGACAUGGCCUCCAAAGUUGCAGCUCUGCUCUUGCUGGGUAUCAUCUGCUUCGGGCUUGCAGCAGCUGACAUUCCAGCGGACUGCUGUCUGAAAACUUCUGACAGACGCUUCCCCCCAAACUCAUUGCAAGCUACACACUUCAGGAUGCAAACAAAGGCUGCCCGAUCAAGGCUACUGUGGUCAUCACAAAGUUAGGAAGGAAACUGUGUCUCGCCCACCCCGAUGACAUCCAACAGAACUAGAGAAGAGUGGCUGAAGACUAAAAUGAUGGCUGAGAACAGAAUCAUUUCAGUCCUGGAGCAGCCGUGUCGUACUGUACGAGAUGUCAGAGGACGAGAAUCAUCUCCUCUUACAUCUUAUUUAUCUUAUUUUAUUUCAUCUGGAUGUGUUUGUUCCUCAUGUGUGGUGGCGGUGGCGGUGUAAUUGUGGUUGCCUUUUUCUUUCUGCUUUUUUACGAUGAGUGACGUGUACUGUAAAAAUAGAAACACCUGCCUUGACUUGCCUGAAGAGUUUGGUUGUUUGAUCAGUGCUGUAUGCUGCUAAAUUUGCAGUGCUGUGUUUGUGACGACGUGUGGAAAAUGUUGAAAGGAUAAUUUGUGGAUGUUGAGACUGUUACUGAGAGCUACUUUAAAAUAAACUUUUGAUACUGUUUUGUAAA